rnacentral:rRNA from 1 species
UACGGAGGGAGCUAGCGUUGUUCGGAAUUACUGGGCGUAAAGCGCGCGUAGGCGGCUUUGCAAGUCGGGUGUGAAAUCCCCAGGCUUAACCUGGGAACUGCAUUCGAGACUGCAUUGCUAGAGUAUGGGAGAGGGAAGUGGAAUUUCCGGUGUAGCGGUGAAAAUGCGUAGAUAUCGGAAGGAACAUCAGUGGCGAAAGCGACUUCCUGGACCAAUACUGACGCUCAUGUGCGAAAGCGUGGGGAGCAAACAGG